rnacentral:rRNA from 1 species
GACGAACGUUGGCGGCGUGCUUAAUACAUGCAAGUCAACUGAAGCAGUGGUAGCAAUAUCGCUGUGGAGGUGGCGCACGGGGGAGGAACCCGUAGGUAAUCUGCCUUCAGGUCUGGCAUAACUCCGGGAAACCGGGGCUAAUAGCAGAUGAUGCAGCGGCUCGACAUCGAGACAGUUGUUAAAGCUAUGGCGCCUGAAGAUGAGCCUGCGUCUGAUUAGCUAGUUGGCGGGGUAACGGCCCACCAAGGCAACGAUCAGGAGCUGGUCUGAGAGGAGGCUCAGCCACACUGGAACUGAGACACGGUCCAGACUACUACGGGAGGCAGCAGUGAGGAAUAUUGCUCAAUGGGAGACAUCCUGAAGCAGCACCGCCGCGUGAGGGACGACGGGCUUUUGCUUGUAAACCUCUGUAGUGAGAGAAAAAAAUCCCAAUCUUUGGGACAUGAUGGUACCUCAAAAGUAAGCCCCGGCUAACUACGUG